CUGGCUCAGGAUGAACGCUGGCGGCGUGCUUAACACAUGCAAGUCGAACGAAGCGCAUUGUUUGAAUUCUUCGGAAGGAAGAUAAUGUGACUGAGUGGCGGACGGGUGAGUAACGCGUGGGUAACCUGCCAUG
rnacentral:rRNA from 1 species